rnacentral:rRNA from 1 species
AAGUAUUCCUAGCGAUUGUAGGCUUUGCCUGCUAUCUCUUACCCGGGCCCUUGAGUACUUACGUUUCCUCGGUGGGUUCGCCCACCGAUUGGACAAACUUAAACCCUUUGCAGUUGAAAUCAGCGUCUGAAAAAACUUAAUAGUUACAACUUUCAACAACGGAUCUCUUGGUUCUGGCAUCGAUGAAGAACGCAGCGAAAUGCGAUAAGUAGUGUGAAUUGCAGAAUUCAGUGAAUCAUCGAAUCUUUGAACGCACAUUGCGCCCCUUGGUAUUCCAUGGGGCAUGCCUGUUCGAGCGUCAUUUGUACCUUCAAGCUCUGCUUGGUGUUGGGUGUUUGUCUCCUGUAAACUCGCCUUAAAACAAUUGGCAGCCGGCGUAUUGAUUUCGGAUCGCAGUACAUCUCGCGCUUUGCACUCAUAACGACGACGUCCAAAAGUACAUUUUUACACUCUUGACCUGGGAUCACGAAGGGAUACCCGCUGAACUUAUCCACAUGUUCAACUACGAGAAAA